rnacentral:snRNA from 1 species
GGAUGUGAGGGCGAUCUGGCUGCGACAUCUGUCACCCCAUUGAUCGCCAGGGUUGAUUCGGCUGAUCUGGCUGGCUAGGCGGGUGUCCCCUUCCUCCCUCACCACUCCAUGUGCGUCCCUCCCGAAGCUGCGCGCUCGGUCGAAGAGGACGACCAUCCCCGAUAGAGGAGGACCGUUCUUCGGUCAAGGGUAUACGAGUAGCUGCGCUCCCCUGCUAGAACCUCCAAACAAGCUCUCAAGGUCCAAGUUAACUGAGUUUCACACUGUACAGUUUAUCAUGUGACUUUAUGCACUACUUUACAGUGAUUAAAAAAUAUGUAGCUUUCAUAUAA